UGCGGCCCCAUUUCAUCGCUUUCUUCCCCAAUUACCAUCUCGCGUGCCGACGCCCCCGUCUUCACCGCCGCCGUCUCCUGCCCUCCAUGCCGGCGCAUCCUAUGCCCUAGCGCCGGCUGCUGCUUCUACCAUGGACGGAUUCAAUUCACCGCGCGUAUUCGUCCAUCUACAUCUCAAGGGAGGACACGGUUUGGAGAUCCUCCGCAAAGCAUAUUCGAGGUGUCUUCCGACGAUUCGAAGCAGACUGGGAUCGCCACGAACGAGAUUGGUGGGAAGGUCCGGACAUUCGCGCUGGCCUAAGCGGUGCACAAGGCGGCCUCACUGAUAAGGUUCCCACCAACUGUGGCCUUGACGACAAUUGUGGCCAACUGGAUAGGAAAGAUCACGAAGGAGACGACUUGCUCUGGUUUUUGCUCAAGAUUACGAAACCGUCGCGGCCUUGUGAAAUGAUGUGCUCAUUGUGGUGCAACCAAUUGUUGGGUUCAUUGAAGUUGUGAUGUUCUCGAUCAUCUGCUGCUGGAUUGCCAUAGAAUAAAACUAUAGAUGUAUAUUAGCAUGGGCUGGCCUAGGCAUGGCUCCUCCUGCUCCUCGAGGCGACAACGGCGACCACGCGCUCAACGACCCUGGUCCCCGCCCCCAUCGUUAUCCUCCGUGCUGCCGCGACCCAGCCCACCUCCUCCUCCAUCGUCGUCUCAUAGGUCGACGAGGAGGGCUUGGCUGGUGCACCCUUAGGCCCGCACUUCCGCGCCACUUCUUCUCCAGCUCCAACAUGGAGGUCAGCUAGGAGGGAUCAACCAAUGUGACAUUGCCCCGCUGGCGGCCAAGGGCAUGAUAUGAACGGAAUCUAGGUCAGAGACAGCUAGAGUCGCUUUGAUGAGAAGUUGAGGGCGCAGGUACAAGGCAGCAGUAGUAGCAGCUUAGCCUCCUCCUAAUGUUGUAGCAAGUCACGGUGGCGGCGGCGGCCCAUGUCCCAGUGUUUGUUGAGCGCAAAGGGCGCGUUCUCCGUUUUCUUUUGGAAAAUGGAAAGGUUAGUUGUCCAGUCUGUGCUCAUGUUGUCCUCAUCUGAGAUCAAGUAUCAUGUAUUCUUCAGCGAACUCGUUCUUCAAAGGUAGAGGAAGCAAUUCCAGAUUUUCCGGUGAUACAAAAAUUUGGUUACGGUUGUCGGCAGCACUUGCAAAGUGAUGAUGAGAGGACCUUUGAAAUUCCUGAACCGUGAUGAGCUUUAAGAGUUAAUUUUACAGCACUAUAUCUGCAGUAUACAGUAAUAUCAAUAAUUAUGUUACUACAAAGGAUCUACUCUGGGAGGGAGCGGAACUGCAUAGGCAAAAGUGUAGCAGUUCAAAUUUAGAUUCACUACUUCGUUCAUAAUUUUUCCGCUAAAACACCUCUGGAGAUACCACAAUCGUUGAUGUUGCUCAACCGGGAGACAUGCAUCUGCCAUUCAUCACGCACCAUCGGAUGGAAGCUAACGCCAGUAUUCAUUGGAUUCAUCGCUCCUAUACGCAGUGCAGCGCCUCGGGACGAGAAAUGUCUAGGAGGGAAGAAGAAGGCCAAGAGGACCAGACCAAGAAGUGUUGGUAAUCGAAGGGCCCUUCCGAUGUAGAUGUGCUGUCUAUUCCGUCGUGAUCACGAUGAGCUACUAAGUCCUAUUGUGGUGGUUCUGGAGAUGGAGUUGGCUUGAGGCUGCAAUGCAGAGGAGCAUGACGAGCUGCCGAGGAGCGGAGAGCUGCAGAGGAUCAUUGCGAGGUGCCGUGAAGCCAGCUAGAUGGCUAGGUGAAGGUUUCUACAGUGAAGUUGUUUCGAUUAUCAACUAGUUUGGAUUUUCUGUGUUUGUUUGAGUUAUAUCUAUGUACUUUUAUUAGAAGAUGAUGUUUUAUGCUUUUGUUGUUUCUGAAAUAUGCUUUUGUUGUUUCUGAAGACAGUUUAUUGUUUAGUAGAAUUUUCAGAUUAU